AUUGAACGCUGGCGGCAUGCUUUACACAUGCAAGUCGAACGGCAGCGGGGGAGAGCUUGCUUUCCUGCCGGCGAGUGGCGAACGGGUGAGUAAUGCAUCGGAACGUACCGAGUAGUGGGGGAUAACUGUCCGAAAGGAUGGCUAAUACCGCAUACGCUUUGCGAAGGAAAGCGGGGGCUCUUAGGACCUCGCGCUAUUCGAGCGGCCGAUGUCUGAUUAGCUAGUUGGUGGGGUAAAGGCCUACCAAGGCGACGAUCAGUAGCGGGUCUGAGAGGAUGAUCCGCCACACUGGGACUGAGACACGGCCCAGACUCCUACGGGAGGCAGCAGUGGGGAAUUUUGGACAAUGGGGGGAACCCUGAUCCAGCCAUGCCGCGUGUCUGAAGAAGGCCUUCGGGUUGUAAAGGACUUUUGUCAGGGAAGAAAAGCUUCGGGUUAAUACCCUGGAGUGAUGACGGUACCUGAAGAAUAAGCACCGGCUAACUACGUGCCAGCAGCCGCGGUAAUACGUAGGGUGCGAGCGUUAAUCGGAAUUACUGGGCGUAAAGCGGGCGCAGACGGUUACUUAAGUCANAUGUGAAAUCCCCGGGCUCAACCUGGGAACUGCGUUUGAAACUGGGUGACUAGAGUAUGUCAGAGGNGGGUAGAAUUCCAC
rnacentral:rRNA from 1 species